rnacentral:rRNA from 1 species
ACAGACAGCCAGGAUGUUGGCUUAGAAGCAGCCAUCAUUUAAAGAAAGCGUAAUAGCUCACUGGUCGAGUCGGCCUGCGCGGAAGAUGUAACGGGGCUAAACCAUGCACCGAAGCUGCGGCAGCGACGCUAGGCGUUGUUGGGUAGGGGAGCGUUCUGUAAGCCUGCGAAGGUGACCUGUGAGGGUUGCUGGAGGUAUCAGAAGUGCGAAUGCUGACAUAAGUAACGAUAAAGCGGGUGAAAAGCCCGCUCGCCGGAAGACCAAGGGUUCCUGUCCAACGUUAAUCGGGGCAGGGUGAGUCGACCCCUAAGGC